AGUCCUGUAGCUCAACGGUGGAGCAUCUGUCUUACAAACAGAGGGAUGCGGGUACCGCUUCGCGGAAGCAAGCUACAAAUCCUGCCAGGACUA
rnacentral:tRNA from 1 species